UAUUAAUUUUUUGUAUAUAUAUUAUAUUUUACGAUUAAUAAAGUAGAGGCGAUGCGUAUGCCAGCUCUACAAAGUGUCGAGGCAGUGGAAUUUCCCUAGGUAUAGCCGAUCAGCCCUCCGAUUUGGACACCAUCCUCGGGAUUGUCGCUUCUGCUUUUUUGUGCGGGGAUCUUAAUCGCCAAAUCUGCAUGGAACAGCCGAGCCGAUAACUCGAUUGGGCACAUCCUCGAGGCCUACGCUGUUGAGCAGUCGUGCAUGCUAGGUCCCCAGCAACCAACACACUUGGCGACUACAGGCACAGUGGACGUACAGUAUAUUGCCAUACUUAAAGAUAUACGUCUCUCUACGGGAAUUGAAGCGCUCCACGAGCUGUCCUCCGAUCACUUCCCAGUUAUUCUCGAUUUAGGGGACGAGAAGGGCACAUCAAAGAAUUUCCUGUAUUUUUUAGUGACUGGGAAAAAUAUACAAAGGUACCAGAAACCACGCUGCCGCGGUCGGUCAUUACUGUCACGCCCGCCCUGCCGGAAAAUGCUUUUGCCCUUUUCGAAACCGCACUAAACAUGGCUUACACUACUGCCACGAUAGCUCGUGAAGUAACGUACUGCCCUGAUCGCCUGCCUGACGUACUAAAGACACUUACCUGCCAACCUCGACUUCUUAUUCGAGUAGCCAUAUUGUCGCAGAGCGCCCUCAAACCUGCACUUAAUCGACUUCACAGAAUCAGGCAGCAGAAGCCGUUCCUCCUUUUGGAAAUUUGUUAAAAGGUUAAAAAAUCGGGGUCUUGCACCACUACCGCCCCUUUGUGAAGGAAAUAUAGUGGCCGAGAGUGAUGGAGAUAUAGCUACGCUUUUUGCCAAUGAACUGCUUAAGCUAGUUAAUAUUAACGAGGUGCAAGCAAUUGUCGAAGCGCUACCUAAACGGAAGGAGCUUUGCCCCGAUGACAUCACUAAUGAGAUACUGAAGAAAAGCCAUUAAUAGGAAUGAUCUAUCUUUACCUCCUGAUGAAAUCUUCGACAUUCUCCUUGGCACCUUUCCGUUUCGAUGGAAGACGGCGAGCGUUGUGAGGCUACCAAAAACACUGACACCAGAAUCAGUAACUAGCAGGUACAGAUCCAUCAGUUUACUGUCAGCGGUCGGCAAAGUGGAUGAGGUCGUUGACGCUUGGAAAGCUUUACCAGAGUUUCAGUUUGGAUUUUGGCAAGGGCACCCAACGAACCAGCAGCUCCUUCGCAUAAUUGAAUAAACCACUCGCGCUUUUAACCAUAAGAAGGCAACAGGCAAUAUCUUUCUUGACGUUGAGAAGGCAUUUGCUCAAGUUUGGU